GUCAAGGGCAAAGUACUGGGACUGGCACCAUCCCCAGAAACUCAGGGGCAGAGGGAGGAGCAGCCCAUUUCCAAGCCGGGAUGCAGUUCCAGGGCAGGCAGUAGAGGCCCAGAGACAGGAUCUCACUAUGUAGCCCAGGCUGGUCUUGAAAUCCUGGGUUCAAGAGAUCCUCCCCCUCUCAGCCUCCAAAAGUGCUGGGACUACAGGCAUGAGCCACCAUGCCCAGUGUCCACAGCAUUUCAACAGAGAGAGCCAAGCCUGCAGCCACCAGUGGCAGGCCCCUAGCUCCCCUGACGCUGAUGGAUUGCAGACACUUUUGAGACAGACACGGUGCAGAGAGGACUUCUCGGACCUCAGCAGAGCUGUGACCCAGGCUGGUGGUUUUGCUUGCUUGCCCAGCCCUCUGUCCAUCCGUCUGUGGCUCCCUUCAAUGCCACCUGCUGAAACCUCCGCCAACACCAGGCCACGUGACAGGGACUACAGGUGCAACCCCCAGCCCAGGAGGAGACUUGACUCGCCUGAGGUCAGCUGGAGCCAGGAACACCUUUGUGCAACAGCUGCCGUGGCCCAUCUGUGAGAGACACGUGGACCCCGUGCCUCGAAACAGGUCCUGGGAGUGGUGUAGGCACCAUGAUCCCCUCAGAAGAUUCAGGGGAAAAAAAAAAGGCCAAGCAAUAAAUGAAGUGAUUUCCAGC
rnacentral:lncRNA from 1 species